CUAUGCGCCUUGCCAGCCCGCUCAGUCAGAGUUUGAUCCUGGCUCAGGAUGAACGCUGGCGGUAUGCUUAACACAUGCAAGUCGAACGGGGCUCUUCGGAGUUCAGUGGCGGACGGGUGAGUAACGCGUGAGAAUCUGGCCUCAGGUUUGGGACAACCACUGGAAACGGUGGCUAAUACCGGAUAUGCCUUAAGGUGAAAGAUUAAUUGCCUGAGGAUGAGCUCGCGUCUGAUUAGCUAGUUGGUGGGGUAAGAGCCUACCAAGCGCGAUCAGUAGCUGGUCUGAGAGGACGGUCAGCCACACUGGGACUGAGACACGGCCCAG
rnacentral:rRNA from 1 species